GCUGGGCAUGGUGGUGCAUGCCUGUAAUCCCAGCUACUCAGGAGGCUGAGGCAGGAGAAUUGCUUGAACCUGGGAGGCGGAGGUUGCAGUGAGCAAAGAUUGUGCCACUGCACUCCAGCCUGGGUGACAGAGUGAGACUCUGUUUCAA
rnacentral:SRP_RNA from 1 species